CCUACGGGAGGCAGCAGUGGGGAAUAUUGCGCAAUGGGCGAAAGCCUGACGCAGCGACGCCGCGUGAGGGAUGAAGGUCUUCGGAUCGUAAACCUCUGUCAGCAGGGAAGAACGGUCACUGUGCUAAUCAGCAGUGAAUUGACGUUACCUGCACAGGAAGCACCGGCUAACUCCGUGCCAGCAGCCGCGGUAAUACGGAGGGUGCGAGCGUUAAUCGGAAUUACUGGGCGUAAAGCGCUCGUAGGCGGUAUGUCAAGUCAAGGGGGAAAUCCCCGCGCUCAACGUGGGAACUGCCUUUGAAACUGGCAAACUGGAGUGUGGGAGAGGAUAGUGGAAUUCCAGGUGUAGGAGUGAAAUCCGUAGAUAUCUGGAGGAACAUCAGUGGCGAAGGCGACUAUCUGGCACAUAACUGACGCUGAGGAGCGAAAGCGUGGGUAGCAAACAGGAUUAGAUACCCCAGUAGUC
rnacentral:rRNA from 1 species